rnacentral:rRNA from 1 species
UACGGAGGGUGCAAGCGUUAAUCGGAAUUACUGGGCGUAAAGCGUGCGUAGGCGGUUUGUUAAGUCCGUUGUGAAAGCCCUGGGCUCAACCUGGGAAUUGCAGUGGAUACUGGCGAGCUAGAGUGCGGUAGAGGAUGGUGGAAUUCCCGGUGUAGCGGUGAAAUGCGUAGAGAUCGGGAGGAACACCCGUGGCGAAGGCGGCCAUCUGGACCAGCACUGACGCUGAGGCACGAAAGCGUGGGGAGCAAACAGGG